UACAGAGGGGGCAAGCGUUGUUCGGAAUUACUGGGCGUAAAGGGCGCGUAGGCGGCCUGCUAAGUCGAACGUGAAAUCCCUGGGCUCAACCCAGGAACUGCGUCCGAUACUGGUGGGCUUGAAUCCGGGAGAGGGAUGCGGAAUUCCAGGUGUAGCGGUGAAAUGCGUAGAUAUCUGGAGGAACACCGGUGGCGAAGGCGGCAUCCUGGACCGGCAUUGACGCUGAGGCGCGAAAGCUAGGGGAGCAAACGGG
rnacentral:rRNA from 1 species